rnacentral:rRNA from 1 species
GACGAACGCUGGCGGCGUGCUUAACACAUGCAAGUCGAACGGAAAGGCCCUGCUUUUGUGGGGUGCUCGAGUGGCGAACGGGUGAGUAACACGUGAGUAACCUGCCCUUGACUUUGGGAUAACUUCAGGAAACUGGGGCUAAUACCGGAUAGGAGCUCCUGCUGCAUGGUGGGGGUUGGAAAGUUUCGGCGGUUGGGGAUGGACUCGCGGCUUAUCAGCUUGUUGGUGGGGUAGUGGCUUACCAAGGCUUUGACGGGUAGCCGGCCUGAGAGGGUGACCGGCCACAUUGGGACUGAGACACGGCCCAGACUCCUACGGGAGGCAGCAGUGGGGAAUAUUGCACAAUGGGCGGAAGCCUGAUGCAGCAACGCCGCGUGCGGGAUGACGGCCUUCGGGUUGUAAACCGCUUUCGCCUGUGACGAGGCGUGAGUGACGGUAAUGGGUAAAGAAGCACCGGCUAACUACGUGC